AACGAACGCUGGCGGCAUGCCUAACACAUGCAAGUCGAACGAGACCUUCGGGUCUAGUGGCGCACGGGUGCGUAACGCGUGGGAAUCUGCCCUCUGGUACGGAAUAACUCAGGGAAACUUGAGCUAAUACCGUAUAAUGACUUCGGUCCAAAGAUUUAUCGCCUGAGGAUGAGCCCGCGUCGGAUUAGCUAGUUGGUGAGGUAAAAGCUCACCAAGGCGACGAUCCGUAGCUGGUCUGAGAGGAUGAUCAGCCACACUGGGACUGAGACACGGCCCAGACUCCUACGGGAGGCAGCAGUGGGGAAUAUUGGACAAUGGGCGAAAGCCUGAUCCAGCAAUGCCGCGUGAGUGAUGAAGGCCUUAGGGUUGUAAAGCUCUUUUUCCCGGGAUGAUAAUGACAGUACCGGGAGAAUAAGCCCCGGCUAACUCCGUGCCAGCAGCCGCCGUAAAAC
rnacentral:rRNA from 1 species